UCGAAUCUAGAUUCGCCGGCCUCCUAUCUUGCUUAUCUACUUUCAGAGAGGCGAGGAUUCGGGGAUUCGUAUGAUCUUCUCGAGAUUCAUCAUCUCGUUAUCCUGAAAGAGUCCGAGAUUGUGGGGGACACUCGAUCUACACGCCUUAUAAGUUGAAGAGGAACCGACGUCGCUUCCUUGACCCGAGUUCAAAGAGGUCAACGCAAUGGCGUCCCAUGAAGAACGUGAGCGCUUGCUCUUCAUGGCCAAGCUCGCCGAACAAGUCCACAGAUACGACGGUACGUCGUUGCCAUCUUCCCUAUUCUGUUAGGGUUUUAUGCACCGCUGUUGCUUGUCACGCAGAGAUGGCAGACUCGAUGAGGAAGCUGGCGCACCUCGACGUGGAGCUCACCACCGAGGAGAAGAGGUUGCUGUCGGCGGCGUACAAGGAGGUGGCCGCGGCCAGGAGGGACUCGUGGAGGAUCCUCGCCUCGAUCGACGACGAGGACGCGAAAGCGAAGGGUCGCUUCUUCGGGGUGAUCAGAGAGUACCGCCGGAAGGUGGAGGCGGAGCUCGCGAGCAUCUGCAACGAUGUGCUGGCCAUGGUCGACGACCACCUCAUUCCCUCCUCGUCCGAUGCCGAAUCGUCUGUCUUCUACCACAAGAUGUGCGACAACGACUUCUCUCGUCGGUAUAUAUUCAUGGCAACUAGAGGUUUCCAAGGACCAAAAAUGUGACUUUUUAUCACGAUAAUUGUCAUAGGAAGGCAGAUUACUAUCGAUACCUCGCAGAAUCCAAGACGGGCAAUGAAAAGAAAGAGAUUGCAGACAAGUCGCUUAAAGUUUACCAGGCUGCUACCAAAAUAGCUGAAAAAGAGCUAUCUCCGACAAAUCCAAUUCGCCUGGGUUUGGCUUUGAACUUAUCCGUUUUCUAUUACGAGAUCAUGGGCUCACCCGUGCGGGCAUUCCAAGUAGCACAUCAGGCUUUUGAUGAAGCCAUCUGUGGGAUCGACUUGAUGGAUCCAGAAGAACCAUGCAAGGAUAGCACUUUGAUCUUGAAGUUACUGAAGGAUAACCUCGCUUUCUGGAUCUCUGAUGUCAAUACGUUCGUAGACUAGUGAUGUAAGUUCUCUAU